rnacentral:tRNA from 1 species
GGAGGGCUGACCGAGUGGCCGAAGGUGGCGGUCUUGAAAACCGCUGUGUCAGCGAUGGCACCGGGGGUUCGAAUCCCUCGCCCUCCG